CGAGUACGACCCGUUACGACGGGGAAGUGUCUGAUGUCAGGCUUCCAAGAAAAGCCCGAACCACGUUAAUUCAAAUUGGCCCGUACCCUAAACCGACACAGGUGGGAAGGUAGAGUAUACCCAGGGGCGCGAGAUAACUCUCUCUAAGGAACUCGGCAAAAUGGCCCCGUAACUUCGGGAGAAGGGGUGCCACCGAGAGGUGGUCGCAGUGAAGAGUCCCAGGCGACUGUUUACCAAAAACACAGGUCUCCGCUAAGUCGCAAGACGAUGUAUGGGGGCUGACGCCUGCCCAGUGCCGGAAGGUUAAGGAAGUUGGUCAGGGAGCAAUCCUGAAGCUAGCGACUGAAGCCCCGGUGAACGGCGGCCGUAACUAUAACGGUCCUAAGGUAGCGAAAUUCCUUGUCGGGUAAGUUCCGACCCGCACGAAAGGCGUAACGAUCAGGGAGCUGUCUCGGAGAGAGGCUCGGCGAAAUAGGAAUGUCUGUGAAGAUACGGACUACCUGCACCCGGACAGAAAGACCCUAUGAAGCUUUACUGUAGCUUGGUAUUGGGUUCGGGCUUUGAUUGCGCAGGAUAGGUGGGAGACUAUGAGAUAGCUCUUGUGGGAGUUAUGGAGUCACUGGUGAGAUACCACUCUAUCAAGGCUAGAAUUCUAACUUUGACCCGUUAUCCGGGCAGAGAACAGUAUCAGGUGGGCAGUUUGACUGGGGCGGUCGCCUCCUAAAUGGUAACGGAGGCGCGCAAAGGUUCCCUCAGGCUGGUUGGAAAUCAGCCAUUGAGUGUAAAGGCAUAAGGGAGCUUGACUGCGAGACUGACAAGUCGAGCAGGUACGAAAGUAGGCCUUAGUGAUCCGACGGUUCCGCGUGGAAGGGCCGUCGCUCAACGGAUAAAAGUUACUCUAGGAUAACAGGCUGAUCUCCCCCAAGAGUUCACAUCGACGGGGAGGUUUGGCACCUCGAUGUCGGCUCAUCGCAACCUGGGGCUGUAGUCGGUCCCAAGGGUUGGGCUGUUCGCCCAUUAAAGCGGUACGUGAGCUGGGUUCAGAACGUCGUGAGACAGUUCGGUCCAUACCCGGUGCAGGCGUAGGAACAUUGAGAGGAGUCUUCCUUAGUACGAGAGGACCGGGAAGAACGCACCGCUGGUGUACCUGUUAUCGUGCCAACGGUAAACGCAGGGUAGCCAGUGCGGAGAGGAUAACCGCUGAAAGCAUCUAAGUGGGAAGCCCACCUCAAGAUGAGUGUUCCCAUGGCAAAAGCCAGUAAGGUCACGGGUAGACCACCCGUUAAUAGGCGCUAGAUGGAAGUCCAGCAAUGGAUGUAGUCGAGGCGUACUAACAGACC
rnacentral:rRNA from 1 species